GGAGAGAAGAAGGAUAAUACAAAAAAAAUGACACUUGUUUCUUCCCUCUGUUCCUGUUCUCUAAUUCCUUUUUCCUCAUCAUUUCCGUUGACAUCUAAUCACUAUGGUUUUGCCAACAUAUUCAGGGCCCAAAUCCAAUCCUCAGCUUCCACGAAUAUUUGCACCCAAAAAAUCGACACCAAUCUCUUAACCAUCGCUGAAUCCUUCUACGAGGAUGAGCUCUGGGCUGCUGCCUGUCUUCGCGUCCGUUCCUUCAAUCAGUUCCGCGCCGACGCCUUCGGAAUACAAGAUCAUACGAGGUACUUGGCUGAGCGCGAGUUCGAAGCACUGAAGGAGCGUGUUUCAGGGAAAAGAAUGGGCUUCAGAAGAGUCUCUUGCAUAAAUGCUUCGCUUCCAUUGCCCCAUAUUGCCACCCUCUCCGAUGAUUUAUGCUCUUCAUGUAAGUUUUCUACCAAUGGAGAGGACCGGAUUGUAGUUGGUACUCUUGAUCUUAAUCAAUGCUUUAGCCUUCCUGAUGAAAUUGUAGGGGCGAAGCCGGAGGUCAUUGGAGCUGAUAUCACAAGGGCAUACCUCAGUAAUGUAUGUGUUGCUAAAGAACUGCACAGAAAUGGGUUGGCUUAUGCACUUCUUGAAAAGUCAAAGUUAGUUGCUUAUGAUUGGGGCAUAACAGAUUUGUACGUGCAUGUUGCUGUCGACAAUGAACCAGCGAAGAAAUUGUAUAUAAAGAGUGGGUUUGUCUAUGAAAGUGAUGAACCUGCGUGGCAGGCCAGGUUUCUAGAUCGACCCCGAAGACUUCUCUUAUGGUCAGGGUUUUCAAGGACCUAAUUUAACAGUGUUGUCCUAUAUCUUCUGUUAAUUUGAUUUUCUGUCUAUUCUUGUUCAGUUAUUUUCAGAACAUUCCUACCUUGGUUCAUAUAGUUCUUUUUCCUUUCAUUCCAAAGCCCAAAUGUAACGUGUUUUGCCAUUUUAGCAAAUCUGGCUUACAAGGAUGCUUUAAGAUAUGAUGACAUGAAAUGGCUCCCCUUGAUGAUUGUAUUUUGAUAAAUAUCAAUCAUACAUUGUUAGGCUCAAAAAGUUGCUCAAGAAAACGGAACUCGCACUUGCCUAGCAUAUUCGUAUGU